UACGGAAGGCAGCAGUGGGGAAUAUUGCACAAUGGGCGAAAGCCUGAUGCAGCUAUGCCGCGUGUAUGAAGAAGGCCUUAGGGUUGUAAAGUACUUUCAUCGGGGAGGAAAAACAAAACUAAUAAUUUUAUUUCUUGACGUUACCCGAAAAAGAAGCACCGGCUAACUCCGUGCCAGCAGCCGCGGUAAUACGGAGGGUGCUAGCGUUAAUCAGAAUUACUGGGCGUAAAGAGCACGUAGGUGGUUUUUUUAAGUCAGAUGUGAAUCCCUGGGCUUAACCUAGGAACUGCAUUUUGAAACUGAAAUACUAGAGUAUCGUAGAGGGAGGUAGAAUUCUAGGUGUAGCGGUGAAAUGCGUAGAUAUCUGGAGGAAUACCUGUGGCGAAAGCGGCCUCCUAAACGAAUACUGACACUGAGGUGCGAAAGCGUGGGGAGCAAACAGGGAUUAGAUAC
rnacentral:rRNA from 1 species